rnacentral:rRNA from 1 species
GGAUGCGAUCAUACCAGCACUAAAGCACCGGAUCCCAUCAGAACCCCGAAGUUAAGCGUGCUUGGGCAAGAGUAGUACUAGGAUGGGUGACCUCCUGGGAAGUCCUCGUGUUGCAUUCC